CCUACGGGUGGCAGCAGUGAGGAAUAUUGGUCAAUGGCCGUAAGGCUGAACCAGCCAAGCCGCGUGAAGGAAGAAGGAUCUAUGGUUUGUAAACUUCUUUUAUAGGGGAAUAAAGGUAUCCACGUGUGGAUAUUUGCAUGUACCUUAUGAAUAAGCAUCGGCUAACUCCGUGCCAGCAGCCGCGGUAAUACGGAGGAUGCGAGCGUUAUCCGGAUUUAUUGGGUGUAAAGGGUGCGUAGGUUGUUUUUUAAGUCAGCGGUGAAAGUGUGUGGCUCAACCAUAAAAUUGCCGUUGAAACUGGCAGACUUGAGGGUGGGUGAGGUAGGCGGAAUGCGUGGUGUAGCGGUGAAAUGCAUAGAUAUCACGCAGAACUCCGAUUGCGAAGGCAGCUUACUGGGCCAUAACUGACGCUGAGGCACGAAAGCGUGGGGAUCGAACAGGAUUAGAUACCCGAGUAGUC
rnacentral:rRNA from 1 species